GAUGAACGCUGGCGGCGUGCCUAAUACAUGCAAGUCGAGCGAACUGAUUAGAAGCUUGCUUCUAUGACGUUAGCGGCGGACGGGUGAGUAACACGUGGGCAACCUGCCUGUAAGACUGGGAUAACUUCGGGAAACCGAAGCUAAUACCGGAUAGAAUCUUCUCCUUCAUGGGAGAUGAUUGAAAGAUGGUUUCGGCUAUCACUUACAGAUGGGCCCGCGGUGCAUUAGCUAGUUGGUGAGGUAACGGCUCACCAAGGCAACGAUGCAUAGCCGACCUGAGAGGGUGAUCGGCCACACUGGGACUGAGACACGGCCCAGACUCCUACGGGAGGCAGCAGUAGGGAAUCUUCCGCAAUGGACGAAAGUCUGACGGAGCAACGCCGCGUGAGUGAUGAAGGCUUUCGGGUCGUAAAACUCUGUUGUUAGGGAAGAACAAGUACGAGAGUAACUGCUCGUACCUUGACGGUACCUAACCAGAAAGCCACGGAUAACUACGUGCCAGCAGCCGCCGUAAAAC
rnacentral:rRNA from 1 species